AUUCUUAUCUCCAGGGGAGAUACCACGAUGAUGAAGGUGGUUUUCCCAGGGCGAGGCUUAUCCAUUGCACUCCGCAUGUGUUGACCCCUGUGAUUUCCCCAAAUGUGGGAAACUCGACUGAAUAAUUGGUGGUAGUGGGGGACUGCAUUCACGCUUUCCCCUG
ensembl:snRNA U1 U1 spliceosomal RNA